rnacentral:pre_miRNA from 17 species
CCGAGACCACUGGGCGAGCUGGUCCCAUGGUCCCUGAGACCCUAACCUGUGACGGAGUGAAAGGUCAUGGGUCAGUCUCUCGGGAGCCCUGAGGCCUGCACCUCUCCAGAGAGCCCAU